rnacentral:rRNA from 1 species
AGCGUUGUCCGGAUUUAUUGGGCGUAAAGCGAGCGCAGGCGGUUCUUUAAGUCUGAUGUGAAAGCCCCCGGCUCAACCGGGGAGGGUCAUUGGAAACUGGAGAACUUGAGUGCAGAAGAGGAGAGUGGAAUUCCACGUGUAGCGGUGAAAUGCGUAGAUAUGUGGAGGAACACCAGUGGCGAAGGCGACUCUCUGGUCUGUAACUGACGCUGAGGCUCGAAAGCGUGGGGAGCAAACAGGAUUAGAUACCCUGGUAGUCCACGCCGUAAACGAUGAGUGCUAAGUGUUGGAGGGUUUCCGCCCUUCAGUGCUGCAGCUAACGCAUUAAGCACUCCGCCUGGGGAGUACGACCGCAAGGUUGAAACUCAAA